UUAGGGUGCCUGUCUAAGUUCCUUGGAACAGGACGUCGCAGAGGGUGAGAAUCCCGUGUGAUGGGUGGCCCGAGCUUUUAAGGCGUUUUCGAAGAGUCGAGUUGUUUGGGAAUGCAGCUCUAAGUGGGUGGUAAAUUCCAUCUAAAGCUAAAUAUUGGCGAGAGACCGAUAGCGAACAAGUACAGUGAUGGAAAGAUGAAAAGAACUUUGAAAAGAGAGUGAAACAGUACGUGAAAUUGUUGAAAGGGAAGGGUAUUUGAUCCGACAUGGGAUUUACUCAUCAUUGCUCCUUGUGGGUGGUGCUCUGGGUUUUUUCUGGGCCAGAAUCAGUUUGUGUGGCAGGAUAAAGGCGUGAGGAAGUAGCUCUUCUGGAGCAAUAUAACUCAUGUUAAUACUGCCUAUGCGGACUGAGGAAUGCGGUUUUUACCAAGGAUUCUGGCAUAACGAUUAAAUACCGCCCGUCUUGAAACAUGGACCAAGGAGUCUAACGUCUAUGCGAGUGUUUGGGUGUAAAACCCCAGCGCGUAAUGAAAGUGAACGUAGGUCAGACCUGUUAAAGGGGCAUGAUCGCCCGAUCCU
rnacentral:rRNA from 1 species